rnacentral:rRNA from 1 species
GUUUACAACCAUACCACCCUGAACACGGCCAAUCUCAUCUGAUCGCUAAGCAGGGCCAGGCUGGUAUUUGGAUGGGAGACUGCCUGGGAAUAUCAGGUGCAGUAGGCU